rnacentral:lncRNA from 1 species
UGAAUACAUAAAAUUGUAUUCAUUUUCCAAUUAGUAUUUAUUGUACUUCUACUACAGCCUGGGUUUUAGACUACGCAAUUUCACCCUAGCUAUUAACAAAAAUAUAGACUCUCAGAGCUAAACAGCAGUCAGUGAAGCUAAAUAUUAUAAUACAUGAUCCACUUUUGUAAACUAGUGAAUAAGAGCCUUUUCUUGUCCUAUCUGAUGCAUUAUAAAGAUCAUCAGGAAGGAAACCAAAAUACUGCCCAAGAGAAUUAAUAAAAAGGCCAUCCUAGUUCCAAACAAACUGGGGCUAUAGGUCAAAAGGCAAAUUUAAGUCUGACAAAAGGUAGAAGAUAUGUUCUGCUGUAAAAUUUGUAAUCGAAGAAAGCCAAUCGAAGGUCUCAUUGCAAUUUUAUACACAGUUUUCAGAAGCAAAUCACAAGAAAUACAGCCCAGAUAAAAAGAGAAUAAUCAAAUGCACUCUUAUAGUAUAUUACCACAUCAAUAGUUGAGAAGGAUUAAAUACGAUUAAAGACCAUCAUCAAUAUGGUAAUUGCACGGAGUAAUGGAUUCCAUGAUACAUGAAUCCUUAUUCUCAGGGUCAGAGCUGAUUUGAUUAAUUUCUGUGCAUCUGAGUACUCUGGAGAAUGUCCUGGUCCCUGAAGCUGCAGGUGUGAUCACUGUCUGUGGCAAAACACUUACUUCGAUAAGAGGUGAUUCCCUGUGGUCCCUGCCAUGCAUAGCAACAACCCGCAAGCAUCCAAGAGAAUCAAAUUAAAUCAGAGUUAGUAUAACCCUGUCAUGAGAAUAUUAAUUGGAUACUAGCAAAGGCUACCAAAGGUCUUCCAAAUAUCAGACAAUUAAAUUCAACUUAGUAGUAGAGGUCAAUUCAAUUUAGUAGUCAUUGAUUACUUAUCUUUUUUUAAAAAAAUAUUUUUAUAGUUGUA